rnacentral:rRNA from 1 species
AUUGAACGCUGGCGGCAUGCCUUACACAUGCAAGUCGAACGGCAGCACGGAGCUUGCUCUGGUGGCGAGUGGCGAACGGGUGAGUAAUAUAUCGGAACGUACCCUGGAGUGGGGGAUAACGUAGCGAAAGUUACGCUAAUACCGCAUACGAUCUACGGAUGAAAGUGGGGGAUCGCAAGACCUCAUGCUCGUGGAGCGGCCGAUAUCUGAUUAGCUAGUUGGUAGGGUAAAAGCCUACCAAGGCAUCGAUCAGUAGCUGGUCUGAGAGGACGACCAGCCACACUGGAACUGAGACACGGUCCAGACUCCUACGGGAGGCAGCAGUGGGGAAUUUUGGACAAUGGGCGAAAGCCUGAUCCAGCAAUGCCGCGUGAGUGAAGAAGGCCUUCGGGUUGUAAAGCUCUUUUGUCAGGGAAGAAACGGUGAGGGCUAAUAUCCCUUGCUAAUGACGGUACCUGAAGAAUAAGCACCGGCUAACUACGUGCCAGCAGCCGCGGUAAUACGUAGGGUGCAAGCGUUAAUCGGAAUUGCUGGGCGUAAAGCGUGCGCAGGCGGUUUUGUAAGUCUGAUGUGAAAUCCCCGGGCUCAACCUGGGAAUUGCAUUGGAGACUGCAAGGCUAGAAUCUGGCAGAGGGGGGUAGAAUUCCACGUGUAGCAGUGAAAUGCGUAGAUAUGUGGAGGAACACCGAUGGCGAAGGCAGCCCCCUGGGUCAAGAUUGACGCUCAUGCACGAAAGCGUGGGGAGCAAACAGG